rnacentral:tRNA from 2 species
GGGCUGGUAGCUCAACUGGCAGAGCAGCGGACUUUUAAUCCGCGGGCUGUGGGUUCGAGUCCCACCCGGCCUACCA